rnacentral:rRNA from 1 species
AGGACGAACGCUGGCGGCGUGCUUAACACAUGCAAGUCGAGCGGUAAGGCCUUUCGGGGUACACGAGCGGCGAACGGGUGAGUAACACGUGGGUGAUCUGCCCUGCACUUCGGGAUAAGCCUGGGAAACUGGGUCUAAUACCGGAUAUGACCUCCUAUCGCAUGGUGGGUGGUGGAAAGAUUUAUCGGUGCAGGAUGGGCCCGCGGCCUAUCAGCUUGUUGGUGGGGUAAUGGCCUACCAAGGCGACGACGGGUAGCCGACCUGAGAGGGUGACCGGCCACACUGGGACUGAGACACGGCCCAGACUCCUACGGGAGGCAGCAGUGGGGAAUAUUGCACAAUGGGCGAAAGCCUGAUGCAGCGACGCCGCGUGAGGAUGACGGCCUUCGGGUUGUAAACCUCUUUCAGCAGGACGAAGCGCAAGUGACGGUACCUGCAGAAGAGCACCGGCUAACUACGUGCCAGCAGCCG